UCCCUGGAAGUUCAGUGGCUAAGACUCCACGCUUCCAAUGCAGGGGACCCAGGUUCAAUCCCUGGUUAGGGAA
rnacentral:tRNA from 1 species